rnacentral:siRNA from 1 species
AAGCUUACAUACUUUCCCCACCAC